rnacentral:rRNA from 1 species
ACUCCUACGGGAGGCAGCAGUGGGGAAUAUUGCGCAAUGGGGGAAACCCUGACGCAGCGACGCCGCGUGAGCGAUGAAGGCCUUAGGGUUGUAAAGCUCUGUUUUAGGGGACGAAUGUUACAGGGAGUAAUAUGUCCUGUAAAUGACGGUACCCUAAGAGGAAGCCCCGGCAAUCAUCG